rnacentral:rRNA from 1 species
CCUACGGGAGGCAGCAGUGAGGAAUAUUGGUCAAUGGGCGGAAGCCUGAACCAGCCAAGUAGCGUGCAGGAUGACUGCCCUACGGGUUGUAAACUGCUUUUAUACGGGAAUAACGCGCCUUACGUGUAGGGCUUUGCAUGUACCGUAUGAAUAAGGACCGGCUAAUUCCGUGCCAGCAGCCGCGGUAAUACGGAAGGUCCGGGCGUUAUCCGGAUUUAUUGGGUUUAAAGGGAGCGUAGGCCGCAUGUCAAGUGAGUUGUGAAAGGUUCGGGCUCAACCGGGGCAUUGCAGCGGAUACUGGCGGGCUUGAGUCCGCGUGAGGCAGGCGGAAUUCGUGGUGUAGCGGUGAAAUGCUUAGAUAUGACGAAGAACCCCGAUUGCGAAGGCAGCCUGCUGCAGUGGAACUGACGCUGAUGCUCGAAAGUGCGGGUAUCGAACAGGAUUAGAUACCCGUGUAGUC